GAUGAACGCUGGCGGCGUGCCUAAUACAUGCAAGUCGAGCGAACGGACGAGAAGCUUGCUUCUCUGAUGUUAGCGGCGGACGGGUGAGUAACACGUGGAUAACCUACCUAUAAGACUGGGAUAACUUCGGGAAACCGUAGCUAAUACCGGAUAAUAUUUUGAACCGCAUGGUUCAAAAGUGAAAGACGGUCUUGCUGUCACUUAUAGAUGGAUCCGCGCUGCAUUAGCUAGUUGGUAAGGUAACGGCUUACCAAGGCAACGAUGCAUAGCCGACCUGAGAGGGUGAUCGGCCACACUGGAACUGAGACACGGUCCAGACCCCUACGGGAGGCAGCAGUAGGGAAUCUUCCGCAAUGGGCGAAAGCCUGACGGAGCAACGCCGCGUGAGUGAUGAAGGUCUUCGGAUCGUAAAACUCUGUUAUUAGGGAAGAACAUAUGUGUAAGUAACUGUGCACAUCUUGACGGUACCUAAUCAGAAAGCCACGGCUAACUACGUG
rnacentral:rRNA from 1 species